CUUUCUUUGCUGGCGACCGGCGCACGGGUGAGUAACACGUAUCCAACCUGCCCUUUACUCGGGAAUAGCCUUUCGAAAGAAAGAUUAAUACCCGAUAGCAUAAUGAUUCCGCAUGGUUUCAUUAUUAAAGGAUUCCGGUAAAGGAUGGGGAUGCGUUCCAUUAGGUUGUUGGUGAGGUAACGGCCCACCAAGCCUUCGAUGGAUAGGGGUUCUGAGAGGAAGGUCCCCCACAUUGGAACUGAGACACGGUCCAA
rnacentral:rRNA from 1 species